AGUGAACGCUGGCGGUAGGCCUAACACAUGCAAGUCGAACGGCAGCACAGUAAGAGCUUGCUCUUACGGGUGGCGAGUGGCGGACGGGUGAGGCAUACAUCGGAAUCUACUUUUUCGUGGGGGAUAACGUAGGGAAACUUACGCUACUACCUCAUACGACCUACGGGUGAAAGCAGUGGAUCUUCGCACCUUGCGCGUUUGAUUGAGCCGAUGUCGGAUUAGCUAGUUGGCGGGGUAAAGGCCCACCAAGGCGACGAUCCGUAGCUGGUCUGAGAGGAUGAUCAGCCACACUGGAACUGAGACACGGUCCAGACUCCUACGGGAGGCAGCAGUGGGGAAUAUUGGACAAUGGGCGCAAGCCUGAUCCAGCAAUACCGCGUGGGUGAAGAAGGCCUUCGGGUUGUAAAGCCCUUUUGUUGGGAAAGAAAAGCAGCAGGUUAAUACCCCGCUGUUCUGACGGUACCCAAAGAAUAAGCACCGGCUAACUUCGUG
rnacentral:rRNA from 1 species